UACGGAGGAUCCAAGCGUUAUCCGGAAUCAUUGGGUUUAAAGGGUCCGUAGGCGGCCCUGUAAGUCAGUGGUGAAAUCUCCCCGCUCAACGGGGAAACUGCCAUUGAUACUGCAGGGCUUGAAUUAUUGGGAAGUAACUAGAAUAUGUAGUGUAGCGGUGAAAUGCUUAGAGAUUACAUGGAAUACCGAUUGCGAAGGCAGGUUACUACCAAUGGAUUGACGCUGAUGGACGAAAGCGUGGGGAGCGAACAGG
rnacentral:rRNA from 2 species